rnacentral:tRNA from 1 species
GGGGUGUAGCUUAGUGGCAGAGCAUGUGCUUAGGAUGCAUGAGGCCUUGGAUUCAAUCUCUAGCACACACA